GACAUUAUUCUCAUUCAAUAGCCCGGUUGUUUUUUAGGUAUAAGAAAUGAUAGGCAGAAACAUUGUCCUUCUUAUGUUCUUGAAAAUCCACCCCCUAAUGUAGGAACUACCAAACUCAAUUCAAAACUGAAGUGAUUUGCCCUAAAGUUUCCUAUCUCAAAACCUCCAAGUCAUCUUGGACUCUAGAUUCAAGUGUUCUGUUUCUAGCUUCUUAUGUACUUUCUUCUACUUAUUUUGAGUGACUCUUAGUUUAAGCUCCAUGGCUCCCCAGCUUUCACCUUUGUGAGUCACCUCCCUGUAGUUAGUCUGAAGGCAACAUCAGCUCCACUACUACAGAGGCUGGAGUCAGCAUAAAUGUUUACUAGUUAUGAGAGUAUUGUACAAAUCGGUGAGAUUAUUCUAGGAAAUAUGUUGACAAACUUUUAUAAAACAGUAAUAUAUAAUGACAUACACAUUACAUAAUUGCAUUAGUUCAUGGAUAUAUUUACUAAAUGCAAAGCUACAUAAUGAGUGAAUUGGUAUAAAAUCGUUUUGGAGAAAGUUAUCAGGUAAAUAAUAGUAGAGUCAAUUCUCAGAGUCUCAGAAAAGGUAAAAAUUAAAGAAAGAAAUAAUGCCGAAAUAAGGCAAAUAUGAGAAUAAGAGUAGUAGAAAAACUAGGCAUAAGGUGUUAUUUUGUUGUAGAGAUUCUCUCUGAUUUCACUCUGAAAUCUAGUUUUAGCUUCUGUUAGUUUUGGAUUAUAUUACUAUAAUAUGCACAUUCUGCCUUACACUCUCAUUUGAGGGUACACCGCUAACUAUAGUCUCCUUCAAAUCUGGUUUCUUUAAUUUUUCACCUUCUGCAAAGAUUAUAGAAUUUUAUUUUAUUUAUAGCCCCACUAAAAGGCUACCAAACAUCUCCUAUAAGUAUGUAAGGACUCUGUUCCUUCAAAAGAGGGGAAACCUUUUCUAUUCAAAUAGCCUGGAAACAUUGACAAAACCUGCCAUAUAUUGAGGCCACAAAAAACCUCAAUAAAUUAUUU